rnacentral:rRNA from 1 species
AGCGAACGCUGGCGGCAGGCUUAACACAUGCAAGUCGAACGGUCCUUCGGGAUAGUGGCGGACGGGUGAGUAACACGUGGGAACGUACCCUUAGGUUCGGAACAACACAGGGAAACUUGUGCUAAUACCGGAUAAGCCCUUCGGGGGAAAGAUUUAUCGCCUUUGGAGCGGCCCGCGUCUGAUUAGCUUGUUGGUGAGGUAAUGGCUCACCAAGGCUACGAUCAGUAGCUGGUCUGAGAGGAUGGCCAGCCACACUGGGACUGAGGCACGGCCCAGACUCCUACGGGAGGCAGCAGUGGGGAAUCUUGCGCAAUGGGCGAAAGCCUGACGCAGCCAUGCCGCGUGGAUGAUGAAGGUCUUAGGAUUGUGAAAUCCUUUCACCGGGGACGAUAAUGGCGGUACCCGGAGAAGAAGCCCCGGCUAACUUCGUGCCAGCCGCCGCCGUAA